GCCGGUUGCAAAUGCGAUCAUUUACAACGAUAGACGUCAAUGUUGCGAAGCCGUAGCCGUCUUGCCUGUGCGCCGUCGAUUACGAUGAUUAUAUAAAAAUACAUCGCGGAGCAACUGAUUAUUUACUUGUCUUCGCGAGACGAUGUAAAGAAUAAAGUCGCGGCUGCUUGCACAACAUGCCGACUGGAUACUUAUGCCUAUCCUCGUAAUAAUGCAAUUACGAAAAUGGCGCGAUUACGCCUCCUUAGGCGAGCGUGACUUACAACAGGGAGUAUUACCAGCAGGACAUGAUGCCAACAUUUCUUUUCGUUUACGAUAAAAUCCAAGUGAGUCGUAGGUGAUCUCACUUUACAACCCAAAUUUGCGCAACUCGAAUGGAAAUAUGAUUUUAUGUAGCAGCUGAACUGUUUCUGAAGAGGAAAAACGCCAAGAGUUGCACAAAAUAUU